AUUGAACGCUGGCGGCAGGCCUAACACAUGCAAGUCGAGCGAGCGGCGGACGGGUGAGUAAUGUAUGGGGACUGCCCGAUAGAGGGGGAUAACUACUGGAAACGGUAGCUAAUACCGGAUACUAUCGGAUAACCCAUAUGGGAUUAGCUAGUAGGUGAGGUAAUGGGUCACCUAGGCGACGAGCCCUAGCUGGGCUGAGAGGAUGAGCAGCCACACGGGGACUGAGACACGGCCCAGAGGCCUACGGAGGAAGCAGUGGGGAAUAGUGCACAAUGGGCGAAAGCCUGAAGCAGCCAUGCCGCGUGUAUGAAGAAGGCCCUAGGGUUGUAAAGUACUGUCAGUCGUGCGGCGUUACCGACAGAAGAAGCACCGGCUAACUCCGUGCCAGCAGCCGCGGUAAUUC
rnacentral:rRNA from 1 species